rnacentral:rRNA from 1 species
GAGUCUAGCCGGUGCUUAUUCUGUCGGUAACGUCAAAACAGCAAAGUAUUAAUUUACUGCCCUUCCUCCCAACUUAAAGUGCUUUACAAUCCGAAGACCUUCUUCACACACGCGGCAUGGCUGGAUCAGGCUUUCGCCCAUUGUCCAAUAUUCCCCACUGCUGCCUCCCGUAGGAGUCUGGACCGUGUCUCAGUUCCAGUGUGACUGAUCAUCCUCUCAGACCAGUUACGGAUCGUCGCCUUGGUGAGCCAUUACCCCACCAACUAGCUAAUCCGACCUAGGCUCAUCUGAUAGCGCAAGGCCCGAAGGUCCCCUGCUUUCUCCCGUAGGACGUAUGCGGUAUUAGCGUCCGUUUCCGAACGUUAUCCCCCACUACCAGGCAGAUUCCUAGGCAUUACUCACCCGUCCGCCGCUCUCAAGAGAAGCAAGCUUCUCUCUACCGCUCGACUUGCAUGUGUUAGGCCUGCCGCCAGCGUUCAAU